rnacentral:rRNA from 1 species
GGCGAACGCUGGCGGCGUGCCUAAUACAUGCAAGUCGAACGCUUCUUUCCUCCCGAGUGCUUGCACUCAAUUGGAAAGAGGAGUGGCGGACGGGUGAGUAACACGUGGGUAACCUACCCAUCAGAGGGGGAUAACACUUGGAAACAGGUGCUAAUACCGCAUAACAGUUUAUGCCGCAUGGCAUAAGAGUGAAAGGCGCUUUCGGGUGUCGCUGAUGGAUGGACCCGCGGUGCAUUAGCUAGUUGGUGAGGUAACGGCUCACCAAGGCCACGAUGCAUAGCCGACCUGAGAGGGUGAUCGCCCACACGGGGACUGAGACACGGCCCAGACUCCUACGGGAGGCAGCAGUAGGGAAUCUUCGGCAAUGGACGAAAGUCUGACCGAGCAACGCCGCGUGAGUGAAGAAGGUGUUCGGAUCGUAAAACUCUGUUGUUAGAGAAGAACAAGGACGUUAGUAACUGAACGUCCCCUGACGGUAUCUAACCAGAAAGCCACGGCUAACUACGUG